rnacentral:rRNA from 1 species
AGACCGCUGGUUACAAACCGGAGGAAGGUUGGGAUGACGUCAAGUCAUCAUGGACCUUACGGCCAGGGCUACACACGUACUACAAUGGUAGGGACAGAGGGCUGCAAGCCGGCGACGGUACGCCAAUCCCAGAAACCCUAUCUCAGUCCGGAUUGGAGUCUGCAACUCGACUCCAUGAAGUCGGAAUCGCUAGUAAUCGCAGAUCAGCAUUGCUGCGGUGAAUACGUUCCCGGGCCUUGUACACACCGCCCGUCACACCAUGGGAGUUUGUUGCACCAGAAGCAGGUAGCUUAACCUUCGGGAGGGCGCUUGCCACGGUGUGGCCGAUGAGUGGGGUGAAGUCGUAACAAGG